rnacentral:misc_RNA from 1 species
UAAUAAGUGUUUUAUGGCACUUUUUAAAUCAUAUCCACCUUGUGUGCAAUGUCAGUCGAUCUUCUUUCAUUGGAGAUCGACCAAACAUCAACCUUUAUUUUUAACUCUUUGUCUGAAAAAUAUUAUGAAGUAAACAAUUCAAAAUA